UGAUGAAAAACGAGCAGUAAAACCUCUACAGGCUUGUAGCUCAGGUGGUUAGAGCGCACCCCUGAUAAGGGUGAGGUCGGUGGUUCAAGUCCACUCAGGCCUACCAGAUUUUCCCUGAAUACUGCGUUGUGAAAUAACUCACAUACUGAUGUAUGCUUCGUUAUUCCACGCCUUGUCUCAGGAAAAAUUAUCGGUAAAGAGGUUCUGACUACACGAUGGGGCUAUAGCUCAGCUGGGAGAGCGCCUGCUUUGCACGCAGGAGGUCUGCGGUUCGAUCCCGCAUAGCUCCACCAUCUCGUGAGUGUUUACGAAAAAAUACUUCAGAGUGUACCUGAAAGGGUUCACUGCGAAGUUUUGCUCUUUAAAAAUCUGGAUCAAGCUGAAAAUUGAAACACAGAACAACGAAAGUUGUUCGUGAGUCUCUCAAAUUUGAGGGAAAGGCGAAAAGAACCCCGGCGAGGGGAGUGAAAAAGAACCUGAAACCGUGUACGUACAAGCAGUGGGAGCCCCACCACUAAGCCAGUGGUGAACUCCACAUACGCAUCCUUUGCUGAGGAUACGGUUAACGGAGCGAAAGCGACGUUCAACCUCAAAAGAAGCAGAGGGGGCUUAGUGGUGGGGUGACUGCGUACCUUUUGUAUAAUGGGUCAGCGACUUAUAUUCUGUAGCAAGGUUAACCGAAUAGGGGAGCCGGAGGNGUGACUGCGUACCUUUUGUAUAAUGGGUCAGCGACUUAUAUUCUGUAGCAAGGUUAACCGUAUAGGGGAGCCGGAGGGAAACCGAGUCUUAAUUGGGCGUUAAGUUGCAGGGUAUAGACCCGAAACCCGGUGAUCUAGCCAUGGGCAGGUUGAAGGUUGGGUAACACUAACUGGAGGACCGAACCGACUAAUGUUGAAAAAUUAGCGGAUGACCUGUGGCUGGGGGUGAAAGGCCAAUCAAACCGGGAGAUAGCUGGUUCUCCCCGAAAGCUAUUUAGGUAGCGCCUCGUGAAUUCAUCUCCGGGGGUAGAGCACUGUUUCGGCUAGGGGGCCAUCCCGGCUUACCAACCCGAUGCAAACUGCGAAUACCGGAGAAUGUUAUCACGGGAGACACACGGCGGGUGCUAACGUCCGUCGUGAAGAGGGAAACAACCCAGACCGCCAGCUAAGGUCCCAAAGUCAUGGUUAAGUGGGAAACGAUGUGGGAAGGCCCAGACAGCCAGGAUGUUGGCUUAGAAGCAGCCAUCAUUUAAAGAAAGCGUAAUAGCUCACUGGUCGAGUCGGCCUGCGCGGAAGAUGUAACGGGGCUAAACCAUGCACCGAAGCUGCGGCAGCGAACGUAUCACUUAAAGCGAUUCAGCGGGUUACGAUUGACGGAGCGAAGCGACGUCAAAGCGUAUACAAAGUCGAGUCGGUUUAAGGAUACGUUCGUUGGGUAGGGGAGCGUUCUGUAAGCCUGUGAAGGUGGCCUGUGAGGGUUGCUGGAGGUAUCAGAAGUGCGAAUGCUGACAUAAGUAACGAUAAAGCGGGUGAAAAGCCCGCUCGCCGGAAGACCAAGGGUUCCUGUCCAACGUUAAUCGGGGCAGGGUGAGUCGACCCCUAAGGCGAGGCCGAAAGGCGUAGUCGAUGGGAAACGGGUUAAUAUUCCCGUACUUGGUGUUACUGCGAAGGGGGGACGGAGAAGGCUAUGUUGGCCGGGCGACGGUUGUCCCGGUUUAAGCGUGUAGGUGUGUGUUCCAGGUAAAUCCGGUUCACUUUAACACUGAGGCGUGACGACGAGGCACUACGGUGCUGAAGCAACAAAUGCCCUGCUUCCAGGAAAAGCCUCUAAGCAUCAGGUAACAUCAAAUCGUACCCCAAACCGACACAGGUGGUCAGGUAGAGAAUACCAAGGCGCUUGAGAGAACUCGGGUGAAGGAACUAGGCAAAAUGGUGCCGUAACUUCGGGAGAAGGCACGCUGACACGUAGGUGAAGUGAUUUACUCACGGAGCUGAAGUCAGUCGAAGAUACCAGCUGGCUGCAACUGUUUAUUAAAAACACAGCACUGUGCAAACACGAAAGUGGACGUAUACGGUGUGACGCCUGCCCGGUGCCGGAAGGUUAAUUGAUGGGGUCAGCGCAAGCGAAGCUCCUGAUCGAAGCCCCGGUAAACGGCGGCCGUAACUAUAACGGUCCUAAGGUAGCGAAAUUCCUUGUCGGGUAAGUUCCGACCUGCACGAAUGGCGUAAUGAUGGCCAGGCUGUCUCCACCCGAGACUCAGUGAAAUUGAACUCGCUGUGAAGAUGCAGUGUACCCGCGGCAAGACGGAAAGACCCCGUGAACCUUUACUAUAGCUUGACACUGAACAUUGAGCCUUGAUGUGUAGGAUAGGUGGGAGGCUUUGAAGUGUGGACGCCAGUCUGCAUGGAGCCGACCUUGAAAUACCACCCUUUAAUGUUUGAUGUUCUAACGUGGACCCGUAAUCCGGGUUGCGGACAGUGUCUGGUGGGUAGUUUGACUGGGGCGGUCUCCUCCUAAAGAGUAACGGAGGAGCACGAAGGUUGGCUAAUCCUGGUCGGACAUCAGGAGGUUAGUGCAAUGGCAUAAGCCAGCUUGACUGCGAGCGUGACGGCGCGAGCAGGUGCGAAAGCAGGUCAUAGUGAUCCGGUGGUUCUGAAUGGAAGGGCCAUCGCUCAACGGAUAAAAGGUACUCCGGGGAUAACAGGCUGAUACCGCCCAAGAGUUCAUAUCGACGGCGGUGUUUGGCACCUCGAUGUCGGCUCAUCACAUCCUGGGGCUGAAGUAGGUCCCAAGGGUAUGGCUGUUCGCCAUUUAAAGUGGUACGCGAGCUGGGUUUAGAACGUCGUGAGACAGUUCGGUCCCUAUCUGCCGUGGGCGCUGGAGAACUGAGGGGGGCUGCUCCUAGUACGAGAGGACCGGAGUGGACGCAUCACUGGUGUUCGGGUUGUCAUGCCAAUGGCACUGCCCGGUAGCUAAAUGCGGAAGAGAUAAGUGCUGAAAGCAUCUAAGCACGAAACUUGCCCCGAGAUGAGUUCUCCCUGAGACUUAGAGUCUCCUGAAGGAACGUUGAAGACGACGACGUUGAUAGGCCGGGUGUGUAAGCGCAGCGAUGCGUUGAGCUAACCGGUACUAAUGAACCGUGAGGCUUAACC
rnacentral:rRNA from 1 species